rnacentral:rRNA from 1 species
UACGUAGGGUGCGAGCGUUAAUCGGAAUUACUGGGCGUAAAGCGUGCGCAGGCGGACCGGCCAGUCGAGUGUGAAAGCCCAGGGCUCAACCCUGGAACUGCGCUCGAAACUUCCGGUCUUGAGUUCGAGAGAGGGAAGCGGAAUUCCUGGUGUAGAGGUGAAAUUCGUAGAUAUCAGGAGGAACACCAGUGGCGAAAGCGGCUUCCUGGCUCGAAACUGACGCUCAUGGACGAAAGCGUGGGUAGCAAACAGG